rnacentral:rRNA from 1 species
UACCUUAUGUUGCCUCGGCGGAUCAGCCCGCUCCCCGUAAAACGGGACGGCCCGCCGCAGGAACCACCAAACUCUGUUUUUAGUGGAACUUCUGAGUAUAAAAAACAAAUAAAUCAAAACUUUCAACAACGGAUCUCUUGGUUCUGGCAUCGAUGAAGAACGCAGCAAAAUGCGAUAAGUAAUGUGAAUUGCAGAAUUCAGUGAAUCAUCGAAUCUUUGAACGCACAUUGCGCCCGCCAGUAUUCUGGCGGGCAUGCCUGUUCGAGCGUCAUUUCAACCCUCAAGCCCAGCUUGGUGUUGGGAUCUGCGUUGAUUCGCAGUCCCCAAAUCGAUUGGCGGUCACGUCGAGCUUCCAUAGCGUAGUAAUUUACACCUCGUUACUGGUAAUCGUCGCGGCCACGCCGUUAAACCCCAACUUCUGAAUGUUGACCUCGGAUCAGGUAGGAAUACCCGCUGAACUUAAGCAUAUCU